CGAGUGGCGAAGGGUGAGUAAUAUAUCGGAACGUACCCUAGAGUGGGGGAUAACGUAGCGAAAGUUACGCUAAUACCGCAUACGAUCUAAGGAUGAAAGUGGGGGAUCGCAAGACCUCAUGCUCGUGGAGCGGCCGAUAUCUGAUUAGCUAGUUGGUAGGGUAAAAGCCUACCAAGGCAUCGAUCAGUAGCUGGUCUGAGAGGACGACCAGCCACACUGGAACUGAGACACGGUCCAGACUCCUACGGGAGGCAGCAGUGGGGAAUUUUGGACAAUGGGCGAAAGCCUGAUCCAGCAAUGCCGCGUGAGUGAAGAAGGCCUUCGGGUUGUAAAGCUCUUUUGUCAGGGAAGAAACGGUGAAAGCUAAUAUCUUUUGCUAAUGACGGUACCUGAAGAAUAAGCACCGGCUAACUACGUGCCAGCAGCCGCGGUAAUACGUAGGGUGCAAGCGUUAAUCGGAAUUACUGGGCGUAAAGCGCGCCCAGGCGGUUUUGUAAGUCUGAUGUGAAAUCCCCGGGCUCAACCUGGGAAUUGCCUUGCAGACUGCAAGGCUAGAAUCUGGCAGAGGGGGGUAGAAUUCCACGUGUAGCAGUGAAAUGCGUAUAUAUG
rnacentral:rRNA from 1 species